UACGUAGGGGGGCUAGCGUUGUCCGGAAUCAUUGGGCGUAAAGAGCGUGUAGGCGGCCCGGUAAGUCCGCUGUAAAAGUCAAAGGCUCAACCUUUGAAUGUCAGUGGAUACUGCCGGGCUAGAGUCCGGAAGAGGCGAGUGGAAUCCUGGUGUAGCGGUGAAUGCGCAGAUAUCAGGAGGAACACCAGCUGGCGAAGGCGGUCUC
rnacentral:rRNA from 1 species